rnacentral:tRNA from 4 species
GCCUGCCUAGCUCAAUCGGAUAGAGCGUCAGACUCUUAAUCUGAAGGCUGCGAGUUCGACCCUCGCGGUGGGCU